GACGAACGCUGGCGGCGUGCCUAAUACAUGCAAGUAGAACGCUGAAGGAGGAGCUUGCUUCUCUGGAUGAGUUGCGAACGGGUGAGUAACGCGUAGGUAACCUGCCUGGUAGCGGGGGAUAACUAUUGGAAACGAUAGCUAAUACCGCAUAACAGUAGAUAUCGCAUGAUAUCUACUUGAAAGGUGCAAUUGCAUCACUACCAGAUGGACCUGCGUUGUAUUAGCUAGUUGGUGAGGUAACGGCUCACCAAGGCGACGAUACAUAGCCGACCUGAGAGGGUGAUCGGCCACACUGGGACUGAGACACGGCCCAGACUCCUACGGGAGGCAGCAGUAGGGAAUCUUCGGCAAUGGACGGAAGUCUGACCGAGCAACGCCGCGUGAGUGAAGAAGGUUUUCGGAUCGUAAAGCUCUGUUGUAAGAGAAGAACGAGUGUGAGAGUGGAAAGUUCACACUGUGACGGUAUCUUACCAGAAAGGGACGGCGAACUACGU
rnacentral:rRNA from 1 species